CAGUCGAACGGUGAAGCCAAGCUUGCUUGGUGGAUCAGUGGCGAACGGGUGAGUAACACGUGAGCAACCUGCCCUGGACUCUGGGAUAAGCGCUGGAAACGGUGUCUAAUACUGGAUAUGAGCUCUCAUCGCAUGGUGGGGGUUGGAAAGAUUUUUCGGUCUGGGAUGGGCUCGCGGCCUAUCAGCUUGUUGGUGAGGUAAUGGCUCACCAAGGCGUCGACGGGUAGCCGGCCUGAGAGGGUGACCGGCCACACUGGGACUGAGACACGGCCCAGACUCCUACGGGAGGCAGCAGUGGGGAAUAUUGCACAAUGGGCGGAAGCCUGAUGCAGCAACGCCGCGUGAGGGAUGACGGCCUUCGGGUUGUAAACCUCUUUUAGCAGGGAAGAAGCGAGAGUGACGGUACCUGCAGAAAAAGCGCCGGCUAACUACGUGCCAGCAGCCGCGGUAAUACGUAGGGCGCAAGCGUUAUCCGGAAUUAUUGGGCGUAAAGAGCUCGUAGGCGGUUUGUCGCGUCUGCUGUGAAAUCCCGAGGCUCAACCUCGGGCCUGCAGUGGGUACGGGCAGACUAGAGUGCGGUAGGGGAGAUUGGAAUUCCUGGUGUAGCGGUGGAAUGCGCAGAUAUCAGGAGGAACACCGAUGGCGAAGGCAGAUCUCUGGGCCGUAACUGACGCUGAGGAGCGAAAGGGUGGGGAGCAAA
rnacentral:rRNA from 1 species